ACUUCAGGACGGGGACAACAGUUGGAAACGACUGCUAAUACCCGAUGUGCCGCGAGGUGAAACCUAAUUGGCCUGAGGAAGAGCUUGCGUCUGAUUAGCUAGUUGGUGGGGUAAGAGCCUACCAAGGCGACGAUCAGUAGCUGGUCUGAGAGGAUGAGCAGCCACACUGGGACUGAGACACGGCCCAGACUCCUACGGGAGGCAGCAGUGGGGAAUUUUCCGCAAUGGGCGAAAGCCUGACGGAGCAACGCCGCGUGAGGGAGGAAGGUCUUUGGAUUGUAAACCUCUUUUCUCAAGGAAGAAGUUCUGACGGUACUUGAGGAAUCAGCCUCGGCUAACUCCGUGCCAGCAGCCGCGGUAAUACGGGGGAGGCAAGCGUUAUCCGGAAUUAUUGGGCGUAAAGCGUCCGCAGGUGGUCAGCCAAGUCUGCUGUCAAAUCAGGUUGCUUAACGACCUA
rnacentral:rRNA from 1 species